rnacentral:rRNA from 1 species
CCUACGGGAGGCAGCAGUGGGGAAUAUUGCACAAUGGGGGGAACCCUGAUGCAGCGACGCCGCGUGGGUGAAGGAGCACCUCGGUUCGUAAAGCCCUAUCGGCAGGGAAUAAACAGACGGUCCCUGACUAAGAAGCCCCGGCUAACUAAGUGCCAGCAUCCGCGCUACGACGUAGGGGGCAAGCGUUAUCCGGAUUCACUGGGUGUAACGGGAGCUUAGACGGCGACGCAAGUCUGGAGUGAAAGCCCGGGGCCCAACCACGGGACUGCUCUGGAGACUGAGGCGCUGGAGUACAGCAGGGGCAGGCGGAAUUCCUGGUGUAGCGGUGAAAUGCGUAGAUAUCAGGAAGAACACCGGCGGCGAAGGCGGCCUGCUGGACCGUGACUGACGUUGAGGCUCGAGAGCGUGGGGAGCAAACAGGAUUAGAUACCCGAGUAUUC